rnacentral:rRNA from 1 species
GUAGGGAAUUUUGCACAAUGGGCGCAAGCCUGAUGCAGCAACGCCGCGUGAGUGAAGAAGGCCCUUGGGUCGUAAAGCUCUUUCGGCCGGGAAGAAGGGUUUACUUGCGAACAGCCUGUAGAUCUGACGGUACCGGAAGAAGAAGCACCUGCUAACUUCGUGCCAGCAGCAGCGGUAAUACGAAGGGUGCAAGCGUUGUUCGGAAUUACUGGGCGUAAAGCGCGCGUAGGCGGGUCUGUAAGUCGAUUGUGAAAUCCCCGGGCUUAACCCGGGAAUUGCAGUCGAAACUGCAGAUCUUGAAUGCCUGAGAGGAUGGCGGAAUUCCCGGUGUAGUAGUGAAAUACGUAGAUAUCGGGAAGAACACCUGAGGCGAAGGCGGCUAUCUGGCGGUGCAUUGACGCUGAGGCGCGAAAGCGUGGGGAGCAAACAGGAUUAGAUACCCCAGUAGUCC